GACGAAGGUGGCGAGCGUUGUUCGGAAUCACUGGGCAUAAAGCGCACGUAGGCGGCGACGUAAGUGGGGUGUGAAAUCCCUCGGCCCAACCGAGGAACUGCGCCCAGUACUGCGUUGCUUGAGGAUCCAAGGGGUGCAUGGAAUUCCCGGUGGAGCGGUGAAAUGCGCAGAUAUCGGGAGGAACACCAGUGGCGAAGGCGGCAUCCUGGCCUGUAACUGACGCUGAGACGCGAAAGCGUGGGGAGCGAACCGG
rnacentral:rRNA from 1 species